UGCUGACUUGCAUUCAGGUCUCUGCUUUCAGGUGGUUUGUCCUUUUGAUACUGCAGUCUCUGGCUUUACUUUUUUUUUGUAGGUGCAGGUAGAGUGACCACUUGGCAGUGCAUGAGCAAGACAGAAUGAGUGACCUGUAGAUAGAUGACUUCUGUCAUUUUUGCUGCCCAGGCCCUAAUGGAGAGUCCAUGGGGAUCCCAUCCUUACUAUGGGGGAAAAGAUCUUCUACACCAGUUCACAGCAAAGUCAAGCUCCUGUCUGCACCAGUUUGUAUGGGAGUUGCACAACUUAUUUCCAGCAAGAUUCUAUCCUUUUUUCUGAAAAAGUGAAGCCACUCUAAAAUGUCAUUUCACACUGCAUGUACUCUCUGGAUUCACAUUCAUUCCCAACUGAUGAUAAAAAUGUGCCUAGAAAUACAUUCAAGAAACACCAUCAAAGUAAAAUAAUCAUCUGUUUAUUUGAAGGGACCAUAUGGAGCUUGACAAGAAUAGCUGAGAUGAGACUAACAGUUUUAGACACGAGCUUUCUUCAGCCAAUCAUCAAAUUGGUUAAUGGCUUUUUCCCCCCACCAUAAUCAAGAUAAAGCAGCUGCAGUGAAACACUGCGGUGGAUAACUCCAGGAAAGACUUCCCAUGUGCAUCUUGGAAUCUUCAUGAUGUGUUUUAUUUGGAGUGAUGGCAGAUAAGAAGAGCAUCAGAAAAAUCCCCAGGCUUUCCUGAGGAAGUGUUAAAUCAGCCACAGGAUCAAGCUAAAAGGCAGUGUCCUUCAUCACCUGAUACCUGCAAAGCCCCAGGG